UACGUAGGCAGCAAGCGUUGUUCGGAAUCACUGGGCGUAAAGCGCACGUAGGCGGCUUUUUAAGUCAGGGGUGAAAUCCUGGAGCUCAACUCCAGAACUGCCUUUGAUACUGAGAAGCUUGAGUCCGGGAGAGGUGAGUGGAACUGCGAGUGUAGAGGUGAAAUUCGUAGAUAUUCGCAAGAACACCAGUGGCGAAGGCGGCUCACUGGCCCGGUACUGACGCUGAGGUGCGAAAGCGUGGGGAGCAAACAGG
rnacentral:rRNA from 1 species